rnacentral:rRNA from 1 species
UACAGAGGUCCCAAGCGUUGUUCGGAUUCAUUGGGCGUAAAGGGUGCGUAGGCGGCGCGGUAAGUCGGGUGUGAAAUCUCGGGGCUUAACUCCGAAACUGCAUUCGAUACUGCCGUGCUUGAGGACUGGAGAGGAGACUGGAAUUUACGGUGUAGCGGUGAAAUGCGUAGAUAUCGUAAGGAAGACCAGUGGCGAAGGCGGGUCUCUGGACAGUUCCUGACGCUGAGGCACGAAGGCUAGGGGAGCAAACGGG